GCUCCUCAGGGUCCAGCAACUCAGGAUCCCAGCCCGGGUCUCACCCUGGGUCUCAGAGUGGCUCCGGGGAACGCUUCAGAGUGAGAUCAUCAUCCAAGUCUGAAGGCUCUCCAUCUCAGCGCCUGGAAAAUGCAGUGAAAAAACCUGAAGAUAAAAAGGAAGUUUUCAGACCCCUCAAGCCUGCUGUAAGGAUUGUGCAGGAUCAGUUUUACUUAUUUCAGACUUGAAUGAGAUCUUUCUAUUAAAAAUAUGUGGUUGAGAGGCCUGCAGUCUUUUCUGCGAGGGCCCCUCACAGAUUUGAGGAAUUAUAAGGAAUGACCUAAACCCCAGACAUACUUGUUCCCUUCCGUUGGUAUCGUCUGCUUUCCCUGUAUAAAGUCUCAAGUGAGUAAAACCUUUUUUCUGUUGUUCCAGCCAUACACUUGGUGUACAGUCAGCCUUACAAAAUAAUGCAGAACAAAGUAUAGUUCUUAUUUAAUGAAGUUUCCUUCUAAGGAAACUGAUGCUUUAAAAAAAAUACAAAAGAAAGAAAAGCCUUUUUAUCUCUUUCUUGGCAUUAACCUUUACUUAUUCUUCGUGAGUUCGGCAUUUACAAUACUGGCUUUU
rnacentral:sRNA from 1 species